AUUGAACGCUGGCGGCAGGCCUAACACAUGCAAGUCGAACGGUAACAGGAAACAGCUUGCUGUUUCGCUGACGAGUGGCGGACGGGUGAGUAAUGUCUGGGAAACUGCCUGAUGGAGGGGGAUAACUACUGGAAACGGUAGCUAAUACCGCAUAACGUCGCAAGACCAAAGAGGGGGACCUUCGGACCUCUUGCCAUCGGAUGUGCCCAGAUGGGAUUAGCUAGUAGGUGGGGUAACGGCUCACCUAGGCGACGAUCCCUAGCUGGUCUGAGAGGAUGACCAGCCACACUGGAACUGAGACACGGUCCAGACUCCUACGGGAGGCAGCAGUGGGGAAUAUUGCACAAUGGGCGCAAGCCUGAUGCAGCCAUGCCGCGUGUAUGAAGAAGGCCUUCGGGUUGUAAAGUACUUUCAGCGGGGAGGAAGGGAGUAAAGUUAAUACCUUUACUCAUUGACGUUACCCGCAGAAGAAGCACCGGCUAACUCCGUG
rnacentral:rRNA from 1 species